rnacentral:rRNA from 1 species
AGUGGCGGACGGGUGAGGAAUACAUCGGAAUCUACUCUGUCGUGGGGGAUAACGUAGGGAAACUUACGCUAAUACCGCAUACGAUUGAAUGAGCCGAUGUCGGAUUAGCUAGUUGGCGGGGUAAAGGCCCACCAAGGCGACGAUCCGUAGCUGGUCUGAGAGGAUGAUCAGCCACACUGGAACUGAGACACGGUCCAGACUCCUACGGGAGGCAGCAGUGGGGAAUAUUGGACAAUGGGCGCAAGCCUGAUCCAGCCAUACCGCGUGGGUGAAGAAGGCCUUCGGGUUGUAAAGCCCUUUUGUUGGGAAAGCGGUACCCAAAGAAUAAGCACCGGCUAACUUCGUGCCGGCAGCCGCGGUAAUACGAAGGGUGCAAGCGUUACUCGGAAUUACUGGGCGUAAAGCGUGCGUAGGUGGUCGUUUAAGUCCGUUGUGAAAGCCCUGGGCUCAACCUGGGAACUGCAGUGGAUGCUGGGCGACUAGAAUGUGGUAGAGGGUAGCGGAAUUCCUGGUGUAACAGUGAAAUGCGUAGAGAUC